AAUAAAUAAUAAUAGUUUUUGUUUACAUUCACAAAUCCAAUAUCUACUACCACCGUUUGCAAGAAUGUUAUCAACCCAAGCUGGGGUUAGUUUGUUUAUUUUUCAUUCGUUUUUGGAGUAAUGUUUUGACUCCUUGGCUCUGAAAUUAAGCCACAAAAAAAAAAAGCUACCAUUCCAUAAAGAAACCUACUCCACAAUUCCACGGCUCGCAAUACUCCCACAAACACUGGGGCUCUCCUCCUACUGUGCUCUUGCUGCAGUGCAGACUGCUGCCACCUGCCCUCAAAGAAGAAAUAUUACAGUUCACGUUUGGAAGACAUCUCACCACACUAUGGAUUUAAUCCUGGUUAAGUAUGUUGCCUGUGGCACCCUUAAACACGUGAGUGGCUUAUCAAUUUUCCCCUACUCACCUUCCAUCAUUCCAUUAAUUAUUUCUUCUAAUUUAUAUCCCUCUCUCUUUUUUUGCAGUUGCAAUUUACUGACGUCAUGUCUCACAUGCAUGCCUAACAUUGGACCUGGAUGUGGAUGAGGAGGAAGCAAAUAGAAAAACACAUGAGGUUUUUUCAGCACUUCAUAGUUUUUUGACAUCGAAAUAAUUUCUUCUAUGCCAUUGUCAGUGUAUCACCUCCACACUUCCCAGAGCUACAAAUCUAAACUCAUGCUUUAUCUUGGCCCUGGUAUUUUGAUUCCAUUCUGACCACCAGGGAUCUGAAUGCUGCUCAGCUCCAUGCAAGAUAACAUAUUUAUCAGCAUAUGACACGCACAUUUAACUCCUGAAAAGCUUUCUGUUAAAGACGGAAGAAAGAGUGAAGAUAAUGUUGAAGAUAAAGUUCUUAAAGGGUCCCAGUAGGUUGCAGUUUGCGCAGUCCUCCUUGAUAUAUCAAUCCCCCUUCAAAUCACAGUGUCCCUUUCACAGUCACGUUCUAAAGAUCAUGCACUUACCCUGAGGAGGAGCAAUGGUCCUGCCAGAAGCCGAUGCUGGAGGGUCUUGAAUGCAGCUUUCUGUUAAAGACGGAAGAAAGAGUGAAGAGUCAAGCUCUAUGAUUUUGACCCCUGCUGCUGAAUCCAGGGACAUCCUCUGCCAGAAGGACAUCUCUUAGCUCCGCCUCCCACUCUCGCAACUUGAUAGGCUUUCCUCGGUUUUGUCCUAGUCGAAGCCUCUGCAUCUUCUUUGUAACCGUUGCCCGACAAUCAUAGAACCUGCAAAUGUACAUAAACAUUACAAUUACAUUAAUAAAAAAACAAAUACUUAGAUUAAUGUUUUUUGAAAACCACAUUUCUUUUCACAUUGUGAUGGUUAUAUGUAUACUGUUCAGCAUGUGGCUGUGACAAAUAAAUUUUUUGGUUACGUUGAACUGUUA